AUGAAAGGCUGGCCUCUCCUAACAAAAGGAACAUUUCUUACUGAAAAGCAGAAAGUCUGCAGGAUCUUUACCUCUAGUGAGCACUUCCAUGAGAUUGGGUGGGAGAGAGAGAACAGACAGCCAAGGAGACAAAGAGAAUUUAACAUGUCAAGGAUAAGCACUGAAGUGGGACAGACCUGCCCAACUGGGAAAAGAAAAGGAAAUUUUACAGAAGCUACAAUGUUAAAACUUAAUCUCAAAACACAGAAAAGUAAAAGUUGUAGGGAAAAGUCAUUAAAAAUGAAAAUUAAGCAGAAUGAACUACAGGUGCCAAACAAUGAAGGUUUAGAAAAAAAGAACCCUUCCCAUCCAGGAGGCAAACCACUUGUGGUGAGUGUAUUAUAGGAGGAAAAUGAAAAACAGGAGAAUGAUGAAAUCAGAAAUCUACAAACCGCAAUAUGAAGGACCAAAUUAUGGAAUGCACACUUGGAUUCUGAGUACACCAUUCACUUGUGCCUUAGGAAUUCCUCUGGGGCAGUAGUGUGCACAUACAGGACAGAAAGGGUCGGCUGAGUGGCCAGCAAGGAGAUCACUGGGACGCUGGACACUGCAUACAGUUAUUGGCAAACCGUGAGUAAGGCUUCUUCAGUAGUUUGUUAGUCUCAAAACAAUACAGGUUUUUCAAGUGAAGAAUUCUACUUUUGUGCUUAAAGAAUUAAGACUGUAAAUGGCUGAGAUUUAAAAAAUUAAUUAAAACAUUAAAUACUACACUGUUUCAACACUGUAAUAAUGUCAUUCAUUCCUGGGUCAAUUAUUCUGACAAAUAUUACACCGCUAGGAACUUAUUCAAAUUUUCAAACUGUUUAGGUCACUGAACUAUUAGCUUCAGUAUUUUUAUACUGGAGAUUUAAAAAUAUUAAAUUUGCAACUCUAACCAGAUUUCUUUCAUGACAAUUUCACAGCUGGUUUUGACUGAAUAUUUUGGUGAAUAUUUUGCACACCCUCCCAUUACAACAAGUAUUGUUAUUCACUUAAAAACAAGUGAAAAAUAUAGGAAGGCAUAAAGAAGACUGCGACAGCAGAAAAAAUUUGGCUGAGUGAGUUUCUAGGAGGAGUGAAAGGAAUUCUCGUUGACCUUUUAUUUUUAUUGCAAGGGAGCAGAUGAGGUCACUGGCUGAGAAACGGGGAAAUAAACCAGAAAAUGACUCAGCAAAUGAUUAAAAAGAAGCAUAGAGGAUACUGAAGAUGUAGGGCUAUUUCUGUUUGAGGACUGGGUGAUUCAAGAAUUUUUUUCUAACAGUCUUUUAUUCUAACCCGCUUAGAGUGUUUUCAACAACAGGCUGCUCAUUUUUUGCUUAAUUACAGAAUUUUACAUUAUAGCAUUGCGCUUUCAAUUUUGCUGAGGCUCAAGAAGGAAUUCUAAAAAAUAGUGAAUUUGCUACAAUUUUACAGAUAAUUCAGUGGAAUAAUAAAAUACAGCACAGAAGGGGAUAUUGAAGAUUUAGUUUACUCAGAGAUCUAAGCUUAGCAUCUACUCUUAAAAAUGUCUGCAUGUGUCCAGGAACUUGCAUUUCUUUGUUGGCACUGCUCAGAUAUACUAGAUUUUCUUUACACUAAAAAUCUGUGUGAUCUCUUACAUCUCCGUUUUUCUCUCUUGAUGAAGUGGCUGCAGUUCCAUGUCAGCCUCCUACGUUGUUGUCACAGGCUGCCAGCCCAUGUGCUGUUCCCUCUGCUGUGCCUGCUUGCUCCGAGCUCUGCCUAGGGAAAUGUUCAGGAAAGGGAGUACCUUUCGCUCUCUCAUAAUUUCUCAGCCCUAAGAAAGCAGAGGCCACUGUACCUGUGUUUUGCCACCAGCUGGCCAAAUACACGUCCCUCUCUUGCAGUGCUGCAUGGAUGGGACUUGGUGGGGGAUUUGUCUACCGUUAUGAACCAGAUGUAGCCAUGGAUUCCUUACACCAGGGACACAGCUCCUGCACAUGAGAGCCAGGCCCACUUGAGAUGCAUGGCACACCACCACAUGAGCCUCCUUCUGACCUCCUAACUCUCACCACCAUAUCUUUCUCGACUGUUCCCAUGGUGAAUCAUUAGGUUUCCUAGAAUCAUUCAGAAUUUUUCACCUAGACUAGCACUUUCAGCGCUUCCUCAUCUACACAUCCCUCCUGAAUUCUCUACCUAAAAUGCAAACCUGAGCUUACUGUCUCCUGCCUUAAACCACCCAUUUCUUUUCCCUUGCUUCCUACAAGACAAAGACCAAAUUCUUUCCCGUCUCAGUCUUGCCCUCCAUGACUCACCCAGGGGCAGCUCCUGCACCCCUGUGGCUCCACACUUGCACUCAGCAUCCUGUGCAGGGACUGGUCCUGCACUACUGGAGCUCCUCCUCCCAAGCUACUUCCUCUGGCAUCAUCCUUUCUGUCACCAAUUCUAUGCCUUGAGGCUGAAUUAUCCCUCGCCUGCUUUGUGCCUUAUGAAAAGUGACCACCUGAAUAUACGUGCCACUUGGAAUUACUUUUUAGCCUCCUUCUCUUUCUCACAGGUCUGCAAGGCCCACAAGGGUAAGGACCAGACUGUAUUCUCUUGUGUGGAAUAAAUGAAGAAUUAAUUAAACAACCAAACAGCAGGACAUAUACUAAGUGCUUCUUUGAGAUGACUACAAAUCAAAG
rnacentral:lncRNA from 1 species